rnacentral:rRNA from 1 species
GUGGCAGCCGCCGCGGUAAUACGGAGGGUGCGAGCGUUAAUCGGAAUUACUGGGCGUAAAGGGUGCGUAGGCGGUUGAAUCAGUCGGAUGUGAAAGCCCCGGGCUUAACCUGGGAAUUGCAUUCGAUACUGUUCGGCUAGAGUACGAUAGAGGGUGGUGGAACUCCAGGUGUAGCGGUGAAAUGCGUAGAUAUCUGGAAGAACACCAGUGGCGAAGGCGGCCACCUGGAUCGUAACUGACGCUGAGGCACGAAAGCGUGGGGAGCAAACAGGAUUAGAUACCCUGGUAGUCCACGCCCUAAACGAUGAGAACUAGCCGCUGGGAGGAUUAACCUUUCAGUGGCGUAGCUAACGCGUUAAGUUCUCCGCCUGGGGAGUACGGCCGCAAGGUUGAAACUCAAAUGAAUUGACGG